rnacentral:rRNA from 1 species
UACAGAGGUGGCAAGCGUUGUUCGGAAUUACUGGGCGUAAAGGGCGUGUAGGCGGUCAGGUAAGUGGGAUGUGAAAUGCCCCGGCUCACCCGGGGACCGGCAUCCCAUACUGCUUGGCUUGAGUACGGGAGAGGAUGUGGGAAUUCCUGGUGUAGCGGUGAAAUGCGUAGAUAUCAGGAGGAACACCGGUGGCGAAGGCGCACAUCUGGCCCGAUACUGACGCUGAGGCGCGAAAGCUAGGGGAGCAAACGGG